GUGCUCUCACCGCUUUUAUUCAUUUUAUAUUCACUUUUUUAUGUGUGGUGGAGUGACCCACAUAGGUGAUAGUGGCACCCUUUUGUAUUGUAUUUUGACCAAUUCUACACACUGUUAACUAUUGUUAUAUAUAUUGUUAGGUGUUCUACCCAGGGUCACUUACUAGUGAGGUGGUCUGAUUGGGAUUUAAACCCGAGUUUCCGUUGUCCUGAUCAGCUUUAGCUUUGUCAUCAAGAGGCAUAGAAGCCUUGCGGUCAUUACAUCUGCAGUUUUUUCAUAGAUUUCCAAACGCUGGGAUAAAAUAUUGACUUGUCUUUCCAGUUUUGUGAUCUUUUGAUUCAAGCAGAGCAUUAAAGAAAUACUAAAAAUGAUUACAAAAGUAAAUAUGUCUGCUAGUCCAAUUGGCUCUGCUCUGAAUGGG